UUGUGGAGGAGGACGCCGAAGGUGGGGCUAGUGACUGGGGUGAAGUCGUAACAAGGUAGCCGUACCGGAAGGUGCGGCUGGAUCACCUCCUAACAGGGAGACAACAAAAUGUUUAAUAUUAUUAUUUUGUCACCUUAGGUCGAUCGGUAUCUCACGUUCUUAAUUUAUUAAGAAUUUCAUUUCCUAAGUUUUUCUAGGUCACACCCAUUAUUUUCCUGGGCCAUUAGCUCAGGUGGUUAGAGCGCACCCCUGAUAAGGGUGAGGUCCCUGGUUCAAGUCCAGGAUGGCCCAUAUCUCUAUGUUGGGGGUAUAGCUCAGUUGGUAGAGCGCCUGCUUUGCAAGCAGGAUGUCAGCGGUUCGAGUCCGCUUACCUCCACUGAUCACCACCUCUUCCAUAAUCGAUAGAAAGGAAAUUUUUUGAGUUGUGAUCUAAUUCUGAACGAAUCUAGCUUCCUAAUAAAAUUAUUAAGAUGCUGGACUCAUUGAAUUAAUUUCAUUGUUUUCAGAGAACCUUGACAACUGCAUAGAUUAUUUUUAAAGACAAUAAGCAUCUUUAAUGAUGCAGAUUUAUUAUUUGUGCGAAUGCAUUAAUAACAAUUCUAUUAAGCUGAUGCUUCAAUUUUGAAGUUAUUGGUCAAGCUACAA
rnacentral:misc_RNA from 1 species